UACAGAGGUGGCAAGCGUUGUUCGGAUUUACUGGGCGUAAAGGGUGCGUAGGUGGUCGCUUAUGUCGGGCGUGAAAGCCCACGGCUCAACCGUGGAAGUGCGUCCGAAACUGGGCGACUCGAGUGCAGGAUGGGAGAGCGGAAUUCUUGGUGUAGCGGUGAAAUGCGUUGAUAUCAAGAAGAACACCGGUGGCGAAGGCGGCUCUCUGGAAUGCAACUGACACUGAGGCACGAAAGAUGGGGGAGCAAACAGG
rnacentral:rRNA from 1 species